rnacentral:rRNA from 1 species
UACGGGGGGAGCAAGCGUUGUUCGGAUUUACUGGGCGUAAAGGGCGCGUAGGCGGCUUUGCAAGUGACGGGUGAAAUCCCUCGGCUUAACCGAGGAACUGCCUGUCAAACUGCAUGGCUUGAGACCGGGAGAGGUGAGUGGAAUUCCCAGUGUAGCGGUGAAAUGCGUAGAUAUUGGGAGGAACACCAGUGGCGAAGGCGGCUCACUGGACCGGUACUGACGCUGAUGCGCGAAAGCGUGGGGAGCGAACCGG